AAACAGGCUGCAGGCAAUUAAUGAUUCACUGAACAUGUGAGUUUACACUAACAUUAUCAUGUGAAUAUCUACUACUGCAUUAUCUUCAGGGGAGUAAGCUGGCAAACCAAGUACUGUCCACUAUAAGAGAAAGGCAACCCUACCUACAGCACAGGUCCCAUGUCUUCUGUGAGAUAAGGUGGACUAGACGGUGGCAUCGUUGGA